rnacentral:snRNA from 1 species
AUCACUUCUCGGCCUUUUGGCUAAGAUCAAGUGUAGAACUAUGUUACUAUUUUAUGUAUUUUAUUCCAGAAUUUUU